UUGGGUUUUUAGAUUUUUUAUCAUAAAGUACUUUUCAUAAUAUUUAAUUUCUAUAGGUUUCACAUUACUACCCAUUCUAUAAUAUUUUUAAAAAUUUAAUGUAAAGUAAUUAUUUGUAAAAAUUGCGAAUUAUUAGCUUCGGUGCGUAACUUAGAAGCUAUUUACUUUGCCGAUUUUUUUUUUUUGUCAAGUACGCUAAUACCUCCGAUCCAAUUGGACUGAUUUUUCUCGAUGAUACGUCAAAAGAUAACAAAAUAUAUGUCAUGAUAUACACAGUAUAUCAUUAAUGUCAUAAUGUAUUAUUUAAGACUUCAAUAAAUCAACCACGCAAAACGAUAUGUACACCAAUAAAAAUAAGAUAAAUAUAUAUACCUUUUAAAUGUUUAAAUAUACUAAUGAAAUUUCGUAGAAAAAAGUAUAUGUUGCGUCUGGUUCAAUAUGUAUAAUAAAUAAAUUGAUAAAUACGAAUGUUUAUUAAUUGUGGACUGUAACUUUUAUUAUUAUUUUAUUGUAAACUGGCGAUUUGUCCGCCCGCGUACGUAUAUCGAGCAUAACUGGUCUUAUAUUGGUCGGUGACCAUCAUUAUUAUUGGUAUCGCUUAAUCGCGUGAUAACGAGCGCGAACAGUAUAUAUUAAUUAUGUAAAAGAAAAAGGAAAUAAUAAACAAUAUGUAAUAGUAAGUAAUGUGUUAGACAUAAGCUAAUAAAUAACGUAUAAGAUUUUAUAGAACAAAGGGUUGAACAUUAUGAAAUGUAGAUCAUUAUUGAUAAAAGUGUGAUAAAUAACAUAUAAUAAAUUACGAUUAAUAAAGAUAUAAUGGCAGCGUUGGUGAUCACUUCUUGCCUUUGAAAAUAUUAUCAAAAUUAAUAUAAAAAGCCCAAAAUAAUGAUCAUUCUGGCUCAGAUGUCACUCUGACAAUGGUCGAAAUGCUAUCACUCAAUCAGAUGCGGUCAGAUAUUCACAGAGGCACUCACUACGCUUAAUCAUUUCACACCUUCAUAACGAAGUAUAUGCAAAAACGUUUUAUUAGAAAUGUCAAUAUAGGAAACUUAUAAUUUUCCCAAAAAUAUAUAAGGUUUAGAAUUAAAUUUUAUGAGAUAAUAGAUAAAGCAGGCAUACAUGAAAAUCAAGGGAACAUCAAUAAUGAGAAAUAUACAAAAUAAUGCAGGCAUACAGGAAAAUCAAGUGAACAUCAAUAAUGAGAAAUAUACAAAGUAAAUUUAAUAAUUCGAUAAUGUUUGUACAGAGUUAUUUGGCAGCGUUAUAUCUUUGAUACGUGUCUCUUUCAGGAGUAAAGUUGGGGUUAUCUAAUUAUUUAUCUAAAAUAAAACCAUCUAUAUGGUUUAAAGAAGAAAGACAUGAUUUUAUAACACAAAACAGGAUCAAAAUGAAAUAACAGUGAUUUGAAUCGCUGUCAGCUUAGCAUUGAAACUAACAUUUUUCUGGAAAUUCAUAUUAGAAAAUAUAUUCUAAUU